GGGGAAGUACAACUAGCGGCAAACGCCGAGAAGCAGCGGAAACACCCCGAAAUAGCGUUCGGGACGCUGAGGUCGCGGGUUCAAAUCCCGCCUUCCCGA
rnacentral:tRNA from 1 species